AUUUGAAUGUCAAACAUAACCUGUAAGAAAGUGAAAGUGACAUGUUUACUUUUUAAAAAUCUAUAAUGAUUAUGUAUUGUCUUUGUUUUCUCUUAAUAAAAUAUGGGAAAUAAAUUAAUACAAUUCUUAUAAUUAUUUCCUAGUACAUUUCCAAUCCUAACAAUGGAUGAGGACAAAUAGCUAUAAAAUUUUCCAUCACACAAGAUAUUCCCUGACUGCUGCCUGCUAGACAAUACUGAGUGAAUUAAACAUCUCUGGAGAUUCAACAAUGAAGACAUAAAAUGGUAAUAGUGCGACCUGUGUAUCAAAUUAAGAACUAAUUCAAUCUUCAUAGAAGGCAUUUAUUAUUAAUUUUAUGUUAUCACUCUUUUGUAUUAUACAGUGCAUUCGCUUUGUACUUUAUUUAUGCAGAAUAAAUGGUUAAAUAAGAUAGAA